UUAACUAUAAAAGGAGUACAAUGAAGAGAUGCGAUAAUGCAUCAAGAAAGAAAACAAACAAUUGAAUGAAACGAUGCAAGAAUUGCAUCGAAAAUACAGGGAAUUAUAAAUAAAGCAAGAGCAUAAACGCAUAAGCUCAUAGCUGAUUUUACACUACGAGCUGUCGUACGUGUAGUGAUAUUUGUAGUCGGUGAUAUGACUACCCAUGCAAAUCCAACCCAGAAAGUGACCAAAAUCACUUCGAUGCAGAACAUAGGACAAUCUUCCACCUAAAUAUCGAAAUUGACCAAGGUUGUUAGAACAUGGCCAUGUUGGCAGACGGUUCUUUACGAACAAGUACCAUAAAUCCGGGUCCCGAAUCCAAUACCAAUAACGAGCAAGCUAGAGCUCAAUACCAAUGCCUUUGGAAAGGAGCCCAACGCGGAUCCCAGGCCCAAGGCUCACUUGGAUCCCAGAUUAUGAUCCGAUGACAAUCCUAGACCCAAAUCUGAAACCUGGGUUGCCAUACCCAAGACCAUCGCCGUUAGGACGAUCCUAACCCCGCCGCUGCCUCACUUGUAAGCGCAGACUCAGCAACUGUAGACAUGGAACCCAAACCUCGUUGCCGCAGUACCAAACCCAUUCCAUCUAUCGACUCCGACAACAAUAACUCUGGAAUCCUACAAUUCGGCAAGAACAAAACAAACGUGCUAGUCCAGCACCCACUCCCGCCGCCAAAAAGACGACCCGACUCGGCAAGGACACAGCGGUAGAGGGUGAUCGAGCCCACCUCUCAACUUAUAUCUCAUUCAUGCCAACUGCUACAAUUACUGAACACCACCAUCAUUGAAGGACUUCCGCCGUUCUCCAAACCAGAAAAACAGGGACACCCUGUUUUCCCCAUGCCUCCGAAAAGGAUGAGGCUCAUCAAGAGAAGGCUGAAGCUUGAAGAAUAAUCCUUAAGAACGGAGAAGGUACAGGAAAUCGUCGAUCCAAGGACAACGACUCUCCCAAACCCUAGCAGAGUGAUAAGUCGGGAAAUAGCAAAGUUUUUUGAUACAGAGCUUCAAAAAUAAAACUCAAUAAUUUUAGAAGAUCGCCUUAACACCCUUGAAAGAUUACUAAACUAUUGUUGAUAGUUUAAAAACCGUCGUAGUACGACAGAGAAGAAACCUUUUCUCUCGACCUUAUCAGUAGCCGCAAGGCCAUCUCCUAUUGUUUCUCAUCUUCUCGAUCUCUAAUCCCCGAUGCCUCCUCUUCAUUUCUGGCCUGUUUUCUUCUCCAUUGUACAGGUGUCCUUCACUUUUCCCCUUUCAUUUUCCAGUCAUCAGCUCCAAUCCAAAUGGUCGGUGUCAAAACUAUCACCUCCAAAUUGGUAGCCGCUUAGGCAAUCCGAGGUGAUGAUCCUCAGCGGUAUGUGACAGCGGAGUUCCACUCGGAGCCGACAUAUCAUUUUCUGGUAGGUCGGCUUGUCUCCAUCGAUCUGACUGUCAUCACAGCCAACACCAUUUCAUGGCACAUAUCACUCAAAUCUGGCUGGUAUUGAAGCAUGGCCUAGUCGCUCGUGAGUGGUCGAACGACCAGUUUUUGCCCCGGUUCAUCAACUUGGCCGAUAAGCAGAUCGAGCGUUUUGACGAAAUAUUCGUGGUACUAUCGAUAGCGACACUGGUUGUUUUGGACUAUGAUGAAGUAGGUGAUGUGAUGGAGGUACCCCUGAAUGGAUUACCGGUGUAGGUGAAAAUUAACGGACUGCCUUUAUCUUUUACCUUUCCGACGUGGGCUCGCAAGGUUGGGGUGGUGCAUGUGGAUGACCACUAUCUUAGGCACGAUGAUGUGGUGAAUGUGGUGGUGAUCUCUGGACAAGGUUUUCCCCAUGCAUCACAUGUAUUCGUUUACUGAUUCAUGUUCUAAGGAGUUUGAUUUGGAAUACAUCAAUGUUUGUGGCUUGUGUUUGGUGUGUGGAUUUUUUGUGCAUGGACCAGGAGGUUGUAAAGGAGCCCCGGUUGUAAGGGGAUGAUGACACAUUGGGCUAUUAGGCCAGCUGCAGCGGCAGUGUAGGCGCCUCUAAAAUCUCGACCAGCUCCGCCGGGUUUUGAAAGGCUAUUACUACCUAUAUAUGGUUGGGUUAAGAUCCUCUUCUGCUACCCUAUGGGCGAUUUGGGAGUUUUAAUUUUCUAAGUGAUGGAGGGCAUUACUAAUGUUGGUGAGUCGGUAGAGAUGGGUGGUGUUUCUCAGGUUGAAGUUUCACUUGUAGUCUCAACUCUUGGGAAUCUGAUCGGGUUCUAGACAUAUUUCUUCCCUAUAGAAAAAAGGGGACAGUAGGGGCCUUAAAACCCAUUCUACCUUUUGAGUUUCCAAAUCGGCUACCUAGAUUGGAUGAGAUAUUGGAGGGUGUGCUGGAACAUGCCAUUGUUAUGUUGAGCUAUGAUGACUCCUUAACCAAGAGAAAGCGUCGCAUGUUUUCUGUCAAAUUUUGUUGUUAAUGUAACUAAUGAGGACCUCAGCAUGUCGAGUUAAGAAUGCAAUUAACCAAUGAAGCAGAAUAUAUUAGCAUCAUCUGAAGUGGGCUAAACUUUUAGCUACUUGUUAAUGAUGUGAACAAAUGUGGAAUACUGGAAUGUUGAAAAAAUAACAUUUUAUAGGAUCAUGAGCAGGGUAUUAAUUCAGAAGAAGCCCCAGAAGAAAUGUAUAAUGGCCUUUUGUUGUCCUCUCGAGUGCUUGAAAGGAGAAUUUGUUAUUUUCAUAUA